CAAGAGCGUAUGUAAAAGUUGUUGCAGUUAAAAAGCUCGUAGUUGGACCUUGGGUUUGGUUGGCCGGUCCGCUUUUUUGCGAGUACUGGAUUCAACCGAGCCUUUCCUUCUGGCUAACCAGUCGUUUCGGCGGCUGGCGAACCAGGAUUUUUACUUUGAGAAAAUUAGAGUGUUCAAAGCAGGCAUUAGCUUGAAUAUAUUAGCAUGGAAUAAUAGAAUAGGACGUUAUGGUUCUAUUUUGUUGGUUUCUAGGACCAUCGUAAUGAUUAAUAGGGACGGUCGGGGGCAUCAGUAUUCAGUUGUCAGAGGUGAAAUUCUUGGAUUUACUGAAGACUAACUACUGCGAAAGCAUUUGCCAAGGACGUUUUCAUUAA
rnacentral:rRNA from 1 species